rnacentral:lncRNA from 1 species
UGGGACAGUGUGCUUGCUCCCUCCUCGGGGUCCUGCCCAGACCUCCCCACUCGUGUCCAUCCUUCCCCUCCCUGAAACCGGCUGUGCUUCGCUGAGUGGCUCUCACUCUGCAGUUUCUGGGCGAUCUUCCUGAUGUCCUGUCACCGCCUCAACCACAAGGUGGCGAUGAAGAGUGCGUUGCACUCACAGCAUCCACUCUUUAAUAUGCUCACAAAAUUUGGCUUUUACCCAAACUAGAAAAAUCAGGGAACCCCAGACUCAGGCCCAGUAGAGACCCCAAAGAAGCAGAGAAGGGUCAGUUCACUGAGGGGCCACACCUGCCCCAGGGCCAGGCCACUGUCCAUCCUGGUGCCACCACCACCCUGCUGGCCUGGCCCCCCCCAACCAGACAGCAGUCCCCACCCAGCCCAGCACCGGUAACCUUGAGAAUAGGGGCCAAUCAACAGGGGGGCCAGGAGCCCCCAAGGUGCAGGGUGCACUGAGGGCCCCACCGGCCCUGCUGAACACAGGCCUGACACCACCUCUCUCCUUCAAGGCCACCGACGCUCCUGGGAGGCAGUCAGUGCCGUCUCCCUGCGUCACUGGCAGAAGACUGAGGCUCAGAGGGGCAGAGUGACCUGCCUUGACCACCCACGCAUGUCUAUGCCGGAGCACCAGGCUGCCCCAGCGGCUCCUCCCGGCCUUCUGCAGCCCCAUCGCCCACCCACAUGGAACAUGGCUGGGGUGGACUGCAGGGAUGGAGCUGGGGCAGGACACAGCCCUAGGAGCACCUGCCUGGCGCCAGCUUCUGCUGACGGCAGCCCAACAGCCCCCAGCCACGUGGCAAAGCGGGUCCCCACGCAGCCCUGGCUGCAGCUGCUCCAGGGGUGGCCUGAGACUUCUCAAAGAAGAUGCUGUGCCCGGUCCCCCGGAACCCCUACUUGGCCUGACCCCGCUGAUGCUGCAGGCCCCCAGCCCAGCCAGGUGGGGACACCCAGCAUCCACCCGCAGGGAGGGGUGGCGUGCGGCCCACUGACCUCCCGGAAGAAGGCAGCAUUUCUCUGCACGCUGUCGCUGGCAUGAGCAGCCUGGAUCUCGGGGUAAAAGGAGCUGAUGACAUAGUCGAGCAGCUGCACUCGAAUGUCGUUCCUCCCCACGCUGGGGCCUGCACGCCCUGUGUGCUCAUCUGCAGACUUAAAAAUCUCAAAGGAUCCAAACCUGGAGGGAAGACCCGAGGCGUCAACAGCCCAAACCUGACCCCAGCCCCUUGUGAAAAUAAGAAAAAGGAAAAGA